UACGUAGGGUGCGAGCGUUAAUCGGAAUUACUGGGCGUAAAGUGUGCGCAGGCGGCCGCGCAAGUCGAGUGUGAAAGCCCCGAGCUUAACUUGGGAAUUGCGCUCGAAACUACGUGGCUGGAGUGUGGCAGAGGAAGGUGGAAUUCCACGUGUAGCGGUGGAAUGCGCAGAUAUCAGGAGGAACACCUAUAGCGAAGGCAGCUUGCUGGGACGUUACUGACGCUAAGGCGCGAAAGCGUGGGGAGCGAACAGG
rnacentral:rRNA from 1 species